rnacentral:rRNA from 1 species
GUAAUGCCGGAUGCUCCGACUCCUCGCAUGGGGUGUCGGGAAAGAUUUCAUCGGUAUGGGAUGGGGUCGCGUCCUAUCAGGUAGUCGGCGGGGUAACGGCCCACCGAGCCUACGACGGGUAGCCGGCCUGAGAGGGCGACCGGCCACAUUGGGACUGAGAUACGGCCCAGACUCCUACGGGAGGCAGCAGUGGGGAAUAUUGCACAAUGGGCGCAAGCCUGAUGCAGCGACGCCGCGUGCGGGAUGACGGCCUUCGGGUUGUAAACCGCUUUUGAUCGGGAGCAAGCCUUCGGGUGAGUGUACCUUUCGAAUAAGCACCGGCUAACUACGUGCCAGCAGCCGCGGUAAUACGUAGGGUGCAAGCGUUAUCCGGAAUUAUUGGGCGUAAAGGGCUCGUAGGCGGUUCGUCGCGUCCGGUGUGAAAGUCCAUCGCUUAACGGUGGAUCUGCGCCGGGUACGGGCGGGCUGGAGUGCGGUAGGGGAGACUGGAAUUCCCGGUGUAACGGUGGAAUGUGUAGAUAUCGGGAAGAACACCAAUGGCGAAGGCAGGUCUCUGGGCCGUUACUGACGCUGAGGAGCGAAAGCGUGGGGAGCGAACAGGAUUAGAUACCCUGGUAGUCCACGCCGUAAACGGUGGAUGCUGGAUGUGGGGCCCGUUCCACGGGUUCCGUGUCGGAGCUAACGCGUUAAGCAUCCCGCCUGGGGAGUACGGCCGCAAGGCUAAAACUCAAAGAAAUUGACGGGGGCCCGCACAAGCGGCGGAGCAUGCGGAUUAAUUCGAUGCAACGCGAAGAACCUUACCUGGGCUUGACAUGUUCC